rnacentral:lncRNA from 1 species
UUUAUUUGCUCUUGGAAUUGACCCGUUACUUUACUUUUCCCUCUUCCCUAUCUCACCCUUUAAAAUGGAGCAUUCUACAUUAUUCCUUUAUCAUUUCCUUUCUCUUCUUUCCUUUCAAUCAACAAAAUACACAGAUCCACUCUUAGAUUCAACGGGCUGUGGAUUUCUCUCUUCGAUUAACCUGCUCAUGAUUAUGCUCGAGUUUUUUGUUCAGAUCUUUAUAGAUUCAUCGGCUUUGGUAAGAUUUAGCACUCUUUAUUUCUGAAAUCCUGUAUAUUCUAGAUCUGGUUGGUUCAGAUCUUUUGUAUCUGACUCGACCCUUCCGAUUGAGCUGAGUUUUUACUGAAGCUGAAACAAAGUGUCAUGAUUGUUCCAUUUUAGCUGUGAACAGCAGCGUCUUGAUUUCUUCACUCCAUUUGAUCACUAUUUGACUACAAAGUAUAUGACUUCUCACUCUGUUUAAAAUUUGUAGAUAUAAAGUAUAGGGUUAUUUCUUCUUCAGCAAAGUACCGAAUACACAAAUUUUCUGUUUCGGUACGGUAAUUCGAUAUUUACCAAAUUAUGCAUAGCCCUAGUUGAACACUCCAACUUAUCUAACGAUCAUUUAGACACCUUUCGUUUCCGUAAGUGUACCGUGUGCACACCUAGAUCUGAUAGACCUCAAGCGUGAGUUGCACUCGCCAAUGACAUGGUAAAGUAACAAAUAGAAAAAUGAUACGUGUAAUUUUGAGGAAAAAAUAAAAUUUAACUGAUCACUUCAUGGACUUCAAAAUUUUUGUCCUAUGUGGGAAGGCUACAACUGAUAAAAGUGUUCUUUUUCUCUAUGUAAACGUUUCGGUGCCAGAUAUUUAUCAUGCCAAAAAAAUCAUACAACAAAUUGAUACAACAAAUUGAAGUUGUGUGUAAAAGAUUUCUCUGGACUGGAGGAAAUGAGAUAACCAGGAAGGCAUUAGUUUCACGGAACAAAAUAUGUUAUCCCAAAUCAAUUGGAGGUUUUAAUGUGAUUGAUAUCUAUAUAUGGAAUAAGGCUUCUAUAUGCAAACACUUUUGGGAUUUAUACAAGAAAAAAGACAGAUUAUGGAUCAAGUGAAUCCAUAACUACUAUGUGAAGAUCAAUCACUUGUGAGAGGUUAAACAUUGAAAUGCUUCUUGGAUGGUGAUCAAGAUGUUUAAGGCAAAUGAGACUGUCAAAACUGCUGGCUAUACAUAUGAAGUUAAGAAGUUCUAUCACAGGUUAUGAGGUGACUUCCACAAGAUUAGCUGGAGAAGACUAGUGUGUAAUAAUCCCGGAUGCAACUAAUGGACUUUUAUCUUGCAACUGGUAGCUCUUGGGAGAAUAUAUACGACAGACAGGCUACUUAAGUGGGGUGUAGUAACAAACUUAGAGUGUCCUCUAUGCAACACUAAAGAUAAAUCCAUAGAACAUAUGUUCUUCAACUUCAAGUUCUCUACAGAAUUGUGGACCAAACUCAACUGCCAAGGCAUCAACAGAUUACCUAUGGGAUGGAGUCAAGAAGUUAACUGGGCAAUCAAUUAUGCUAAAGGAAAAAAUGCCAAAGCUGUCAUAUUUAGGAUGGUGAUGGCUGGUUGUAUAUACUAUCUGUGGCAAGAGAGGAACCAAAGGACUUUCUUGGGCAAAUAAAGAAGUGUUGCAUGCCUCUGCAAAUUGAUAAUACAAGACUUACAUGGAAGCGGACAAUGGAAUAGUAGGAUAGCUGAAGUUUUGAGAAAAAUGAACUAUUACCCCUAGGUCUGCUUGGAAACAUGUUGUAAAAAGCGAUGGGGGAGGUUAAGGAGAUAGUUGUGCUAUAGUUGGGGCUGUCCAGCUUUAAGGGUUUUGCUUUUUUUAACAUAUUUUUCCCCUUGGUAAAUAAAAUUUGACUAAUUACCAACCAAAAAAAAAAUGUUAAAAGAGACCUCUCCCCUGUGGCCCAUUUUCUACUUCUUCUUACGCCGAAUUCCAAACAAAUAGAAAAAUGAUAUGUGUACAAAAAUAUAUAUACUUAUUAAAAAAGCCCUUGCUUCAAUUCUUUCCACUCCCUCCUCUUCCUUUCUAAUUCAUCCAAACCUCUCCCUCUUUUACUGUUAUCUAAAGCCUAAUGUUCUAUAAAUUUCUAUCCUGAUAUAUAAAAUACAACUAAUUGGAUUGAGUGGAUUGUAUUAUAUUUUUUGGAAGAGAGAGAGAGAAUAAAAUUGGGUUAAGAGAUAGUGGGGUUCCUGUGAAAAAAAUAAGUAUAAUUAUAAGGGCCUUCAUGUUGCAGGGAAAAUAAAUAUUUUGCCAUGUCAGCGGAGAGGUUCACGAGAUGCACUUGCGUCAAGUUGAGAUCAAUGAUCAUUAGGUAAGUUGGAGUGUUCAACUGACAGUUGGAGCCCAACUUCAAAUAUUUGUUUAUGUAUUUUUGCCAUUUUAUAAAGGUAACAUAAUUUUGCGCUGACAUCAAUGAGACAUAGUUGAAGAAGAGAAAUAUUAAACUUUGUGACAUCAUGGGCAAUGUGGUUACUAAACUUCCCUUAAAUUAAAA